UGUACUCACACUUGGCAACCUUAACCGUGCCCGAGCACGUUUGACCCCCAAAGCCCGGUUCGUUUGACUAGUGUCGAUAUACAUUUUG